rnacentral:rRNA from 1 species
GGGACAGCCUUCUGAAAGGAAGAUUAAUACAAGAUGGCAUCAUGAGUCCGCAUGUUCACAUGAUUAAAGGUAUUCCGGUAGACGAUGGGGAUGCGUUCCAUUAGAUAGUAGGCGGGGUAACGGCCCACCUAGUCUUCGAUGGAUAGGGGUUCUGAGAGGAAGGUCCCCCACAUUGGAACUGAGACACGGUCCAAACUCCUACGGGAGGCAGCAGUGAGGAAUAUUGGUCAAUGGGCGAGAGCCUGAACCAGCCAAGUAGCGUGAAGGAUGACUGCCCUAUGGGUUGUAAACUUCUUUUAUAAAGGAAUAAAGUCGGGUAUGCAUACCCGUUUGCAUGUACUUUAUGAAUAAGGAUCGGCUAACUCCGUGCCAACAGCCGCGGUAAUACGGAGGAUCCGAGCGUUAUCCGGAUUUAUUGGGUUUAAAGGGAGCGUAGAUGGAUGUUUAAGUCAGUUGUGAAAGUUUGCGGCUCAACCGUAAAAUUGCAGUUGAUACUGGAUAUCUUGAGUGCAGUUGAGGCAGGCGGAAUUCGUGGUGUAGCGGUGAAAUGCUUAGAUAUCACGAAGAACUCCGAUUGCGAAGGCAGCCUGCUAAGCUGCAACUGACAUUGAGGCUCGAAAGUGUGGGUAUCAAACAGGAUUAGAUACCCUGGUAGUCCACACGGUAA